GACGAACGCUGGCGGCGUGCUUAACACAUGCAAGUCGAACGGAAAGGCCCUGCUUUUGUGGGGUGCUCGAGUGGCGAACGGGUGAGUAACACGUGAGUAACCUGCCCUUGACUUUGGGAUAACUUCAGGAAACUGGGGCUAAUACCGGAUAGGAGCUCCUGCUGCAUGGUGGGGGUUGGAAAGUUUCGGCGGUUGGGGAUGGACUCGGGGCUUAUCAGCUUGUUGGGGGGGUAGUGGCUUACCAGGGCUUUGACGGGUAGCCGGCCUGAGAGGGUUACCGGCCACAUUGGGACUGAGAUACGGCCCAGACUCCUACGGGAGGCAGCAGUGGGGAAUAUUGCACAAUGGGCGGAAGCCUGAUGCAGCAACGCCGCUUGCGGGAUGACGGCCUUCGGGUUGUAAACCGCUUUCGCCUGUGACGAAGCGUGAGUGACGGUAAUGGGUAAAGAAGCACCGGCUAACUACGUG
rnacentral:rRNA from 1 species